rnacentral:rRNA from 1 species
AGUGAACGCUGGCGGCAGGCCUAACACAUGCAAGUCGAACGGCAGCACAGGAGAGCUUGCUCUCUGGGUGGCGAGUGGCGGACGGGUGAGGAAUGCCUCGGAAUCUGCCUAUUUGUGGGGGAUAACGUAGGGAAACUUACGCUAAUACCGCAUACGACCUACGGGUGAAAGUGGGGGACCGCAAGGCCUCACGCAGAUAG